rnacentral:sRNA from 1 species
GCCCCGGAAUAAUCCUGAAAAUGGGAACGCUGCCUCCAGGAGACCGCGCAGCCUGGAGAAGUCGCCAGGGACAGGAUCAGGACUUGAUCCUCGCGGGUCGACAUGGUCUCAUUCCUCUAGCGUUUGGGUGAUGACCUACUGCCCGCCUGCUGCCUGUUAUUGAAAUAUUAGGAAGCUGUGGUUUUCAAAGCUAAUUAUGAAAACAUUUAUCAUUGGAAUCAGUGGGUGAGUAAUUUUGCUACAAACAGCUUUUUAAGAUACUGAGGAUGUCCAAAUGGUGUUUCCGUGUGGAUGGAGUGGGGGAUGGAGAAGCAGUGAGGAUUCCAGAGUCCUGGGGAAGAGCAGACCACUGUGGAAUAUCAGUGGAGCACUGGCUUCAUAAAUGCCAACAAGAGAUGGAAGAGUUUUCUAUAAACAGAGAAAGAGAAGAGUCAGUCAACCACAUUUACCCACUUUCCCAUUUAUUUUGUAGAGCUAACACCAGAGACAAGGUCUGAUUGGGCACUGCUUUCAUUCAGGAUGAUUUAUCAUUCCCCAUAUCAUUCUCCGUCAUCAUGACGGAGGAGAAAACUUAGUUUCUUUCCAGCUGUGCCCAGCUUCAGA